AUUGAACGCUGGCGGCAGGCCUAACACAUGCAAGUCGAACGGCAGCACAGAAGAGCUUGCUCUUUGGGUGGCGACUGGCGGACGGGUGAGUAAUGUCUGGGAAACUGCCGGGUGGAGGGGGCUAACUACUGGAAAAGGUAGCUAAUACCGCAUAACGUCGCAAGACCAAAGUGGGGGACCUUCGGGCCUCACACCAUCGGAUGUGCCCAGAUGGGAUUAGCAAGUAGGUGGGGUAAUGGCUCACCUAGGCGACGAUCCCUAGCUGGUCUGAGAGGACGACCAGCCACACUGGAACUGAGACACGGUCCAGACUCCUACGGGAGGCAGCAGUGGGGAAUAUUGCACAAUGGGCGCAAGCCUGAUGCAGCCAUGCCGCGUGUAUGAAGAAGGCCUUCGGGUUGUAAAGUACUUUCAGCGGGGAGGAAGGCGGUGAGGUUAAUAACCUCGCCGAUUGACGUUACCCGAAGAAGAAGCACCGGCUAACUCCGUGCCAGCAGCCGCCGUAA
rnacentral:rRNA from 1 species